rnacentral:rRNA from 1 species
CUCUCCCUCUGUCGGCAGGCCUAACACAUGCAAGUCGAACGAACUCUUCGGAGUUAGUGGCGGACGGGUGAGUAACACGUGGGAACGUGCCUUUAGGUUCGGAAUAACUCAGGGAAACUUGUGCUAAUACCGAAUGUGCCCUUCGGGGGAAAGAUUUAUCGCCUUUAGAGCGGCCCGCGUCUGAUUAGCUAGUUGGUGAGGUAAAGGCUCACCAAGGCGACGAUCAGUAGCUGGUCUGAGAGGAUGAUCAGCCACAUUGGGACUGAGACACGGCCCAAACUCCUACGGGAGGCAGCAGUGGGGAAUCUUGCGCAAUGGGCGAAAGCCUGACGCAGCCAUGCCGCGUGAAUGAUGAAGGUCUUAGGAUUGUAAAAUUCUUUCACCGGGGACGAUAAUGACGGUACCCGGAGAAGAAGCCCCGGCUAACUUCGUG